UACGAAGGGGGCUAGCGUUGCUCGGAAUCACUGGGCGUAAAGCGCACGUAGGCGGAUCUUUAAGUCAGGGGUGAAAUCCUGGAGCUCAACUCCAGAACUGCCCUUGAUACUGGGGAUCUUGAGUCCGGAAGAGGUGAGUGGAACUGCGAGUGUAGAGGUGAAAUUCGUAGAUAUUCGCAAGAACACCAGUGGCGAAGGCGGCUCACUGGCUCGGUACUGACGCUGAGGUGCGAAAGCGUGGGGAGCAAACAGG
rnacentral:rRNA from 1 species